rnacentral:rRNA from 1 species
GCCUGGGCCUAAACACAAACAUACCAAAAAAAUACGAACAAACUUCAAACUUAAAAGACCUGGCGGUGCCAGAACCAACCUAGAGGAGCCUGUUAUGUAAUCGAUAAUCCACGAUAAACCUUACCUACUCUAGCACCAAACAGCCUAUAUACCGCCGUCGACAGCCCAUUUUACAAGAAAUGAAGCAAAACUUAAGCCAACUCCCUAACACGACAGGUCAAGGCGUAGCUAAUGAGAAGGACAACAAUGGGCUACAUUACUAAACAUAAAGCAAAACUUACACUGAAACAAGUAAUACAAGAAGGAUUUAGCAGUAAGAAGAAUAAGAGCGUCCUUCUGAACUUAGCACUCAGGCACGU